GUUCCAAUGGCUUAUUUGUUAGAGCAUCCGCUUCGGAUGCAGGAGGUCGUGGGUUCAAUCCCCGGCUGAGCCA